UACAAUUUUUACCUACCUAUUUUUUAAAGAAUUGUUCACUUUUUGACGGAUGGUUCACAACUAUAAUACUAUAAUAUUUUAACUUUAGCGGCUUAAAUUCUAGUUGAAUGUUGAUUCUGUUUAGUUUAUCAUACUACCAAAAUCGUCCAUACCUGAAAAUGUAAGAAGAAAAAAAUCACAAAGUAUCGAGUAGAAUGUAACAUUCAAAAAUCAUGUACUUAUCUAAUGAUUCAAAUGAUUUCCUUGAUUAAUGCCAUUCGUGCGUUCGCUUCGAUUUUGUUUUGUCGGUCGGCUGCCGCCAAGAUUUUCGAUCGAAUCCUCCAGUACCAGCUGUUUCGUUAUUUCAAGUUCUCCAUGGCGCUGAAAUGAUUAACAAGAAAAAAUUAAACAAAGUAUCUGGUAAAUCAAAAGAUUUGUUUGAAAAUUAUACCUGCGCACAAAGCGUAAACAACAACCAGCCGCACAAACGUUUCACUUCAGACUGUUUCUGCCUGCGCCUGCCUGCCUGCAUGAGAGCAGGUUGAUUGGCGCUGUGAGUAGGUAACGAGCGUAGCAGAAAAGAGAGAGCGCACAAACAAAUAUUAUUUUGCGCUUAAUCCAAAAUAUAUAAAUUGAUUCAGAAAUAUUUGUGCGAAAUGUGUGUGUGAAAUUAAUAAACAAUUAUUUAAGACAUGAGAGUCUGCAAUCUGACGAUCUCGAUUGUUUUGACCGUGUCCCCCAAAAAAGUCCAAACGAUUCCAAUUAGGGGCUAUUACCAGACGAGCAACAAAGUUUAAAGAUCGCAACGAGAUUAGCGCGUUUCCUUUGAUGGUUGUUGUAGAUUCUGCGAAAUAUUACUUUCGCGGGGGUCCUGAAACUUCACUUCGUCGGGGUAAAAACCCUAUUUUUUACCAACUCAAACGAGUUUAUCGACUUUAAACUGAUCGUCAACGGCGAAGCGAUUUUUCUUUCCUAUUAGCCGUACAUAAACACGUCGCACAACGACGGAACAGGACCGGACAGCAGAGCUUUAAAAUGUCACAAGGCGGUGGCACCAUCACCGUGUGUAACAAGAGCAUUCCCAGCCGGAUCAGCUCUCCGACCGAGAUGCACCGUCGAGUUUCCGCUCAUCAUACUCAAGACAUUCGGUGCUUGCCAAGCUGAAAGUCGAAAUCGCGUCGACACAGGUGCCAAGACACCAAUUAGUACGAACAAUCAGUUUAAAUAAAACUGUUAUGUUCCGGCCAUAAUGUAUCGGUACAUCAAUAAUAUAAACAUUGUGAAGCAAACAUUUCGAAGAGUAUUGAAAAACUGCCUUUGCCCACUCCGUUCUUUUUCGGCCCCUAAGUACUCAAAAAUUGGGCGCCAUCCUCAAUUCGUGCAAGCUCCAUGACGGCCUAAAAGUCCAUUACCCUAAGUGAUACGAUCACUCGCAAAAAACACCGCGAAUCGAAAACCGUCAAGUUUCGCGCUAGUUCAUACACCGCGAGACCAGUGUGGAUCAUCAGAAGCACGUACCACCGGCACUCUUCACCAGUCCGAACGAAAUUGCCAAGCCGACAGGUUCACGGAAAAGCUUACAAUUUUGGCGAGGGGGACGCAGCCGCUACCGCAAACGAAGGGUCAUUUUUAAAGAGAAUCCCUACCAAAAUAAUCAUCCAUGUUGUCUUGGAAGCACUGUAAUUUGCGCUUGAAAAAAAUACCUUCCAAAUAUCGAAUCGGCAGGAACAGUUUAACACCGGCAAACGUCUCGGCAUUUCCAAUCACCCAUCGAUGCUGGUUGAUGUACUUUGAUAGAGCCAACUUCGAGUCCACUUCCGGAUUGAAGCGCACCUCGUACACGAUCUGGAUCUCACGCAAUCCUAAUGUAUUACAUGAGCUGAGCUGGCGUACCAUUUGUUCCCAUCCGCUUGACCGGUCUGAAACUAAUCGCGGUCGUAAUUUGCGACAUCUGUUCCGUCAGCUGAAUCUUAUUUUCGUUGCUCCUCAAGUGUUCAUCAGCUGCUGCAUAAAUCGGCCACACCCUGCACCAGGAAUUGACAAGGCCGGUGCCAAAUCAUCUGCCAACGUCGGAACCGAUCGGCCUGACUCAAGCGGCUGAUUCAACAGUCCCUGAACAAAACUGCGACCGACCACGGCCAGGUUCGACGAAACGAUACUUGCCCGACUCGAACAAGACCAACCCACUCGUUCCGAUCGUCGGAACGUUGCGAGCCAGUUGACCGCGGCCAAUAAUUUUGCGCAGCGAUUUGUGCGUCGUCUCCGGGAUGCGCGUCUGGAAGCCAAUGUCUGCCGAAUCUUUCGCACUUGUUUUGCCGGAACCUCAGUCUUCCGACGAGCUGGACUGGCUUAGCAGCGUAUGCCCCAGAUUCAACCGGGAACCAAAUGCACAAAAUCAGCAGCAAAUCGCGGACAAAACGAACGAAAAAACGCGACUCACGACGGAAUUACUCAAAACAAUGUUUUGACGUUUCUGUUUCAGUUCAGCGCAGCAGGCGUCGUUGCGCGAGAUAUUUAUUAGUGAGAAGGAAAGAGAGAGCGCAUCGAGCAACACACCAUUUACAACGCGUCGACCACGACAGCAACAACUCAGCUGUUUAUGUUGACAGAUUUUCAGGAGGGGGUUUGGCCAUUUUUGUCGAUCGAUGAUAAAAUCGAUGUCGACUCUCCGAUAUUAUGGAAAGUUGGAUGCAAGUCGAUCAGUACAGGAAAGGGAACGUUCUUAUAUUACGUGAUGCAAAAUCACGCUAACUGGUACUUAAAAUGGCACUUUGCUGAGUUCGUUUUCGCACUUUUUCAUACGAAUUUUUCAGCUCGACUACGAUUACCAAAAAAGUGUAACUGUUGAACUAAACAAUUAGUAUGGGGAGGGAGUAAUUGAACUCAGUGAAGUGCGAUUUCAAGUUACAGUGUAUAACGUGUCAGAUUAUAAAUAUAUAAAAUAAAUUUACGUUGAUUCGGUUAACAGUGCAAACAAAAAUAAAACGUCUUAAAAAGAAAUCGAAGAGAUUUCACAUCAUCGUUGUCGCGAAGUUUUUACCCAAAAAUAAAUGAAAUGGGUUGAAAAUCAUCAGAAUCACUUAGCGGAACUUGAACAAAUGCAUAUUAUGUUGUAAAACUGCGAUUUUCCCAUCAAAUAUGGUUUCUGGCUGCAUUCUGGAUCCUGUGCCGGUGGCCACUUCUAACUUCAUCCACAAUCCUCACAAGGCACGAAGCCGUCGUUUUGUACUACGUCGUAACAAAGAUGCUCCACAACCCACUAAGAAUUUUGGCUCGAACUUCGACUCGAUUCAGGCUCGAUCUCGAGCAUCUCGAGCCAGAUCAAUUCGAGGCUCGAGCCAAAAUUCUCAGAGGGAAUCGACUGCACCUCAUGAAGAACUCGUCCCUCAAGAUUCCGGUCUAUUCACGUGCCUCCUGAAUCAGCAUGAUGUUUUUUGUUGAAAACCGUCCCGGUUCAGCGGAACCCGUAGAGUGAUCAUCGAGUGAAAACUUUUUAGAGGAGCCUUCUCAGGGUGUCCACUUCGUGCUGAUAUACGUUGUGUAAAGGUGUAUUCACAUUAUACCGCAUCCGCAGCCGCAGCCGCAUCCAUAUAAAAUUUGACAGUACGGACGCACAGUGCGGACGCGAUUUCUCCAAUGCAUUUCAUAUGCAGCCAUUCACACUGUUCCGCAUCCGUAUCUGCAGUACGGAUCUGUAUACGAAUGGUGUUGAUCAAUUAAACGACAUUUCAGGGCAAUCCAUUUUAAAUCUUUGGUUGUACAAAGCAUCAUUGUACUAAGAAAAAUAUUCUUUAUCGUUACGAACAAACACAAAUUUAAGCUUAAUUUAAUAACCAAUUCUUUAUGCUUAUGAUGAAUACUUGCAUAUCAAUUGAAAUGAUGAUAAAAGGCUCAAUAAAAUUGUCUUUAAAGUAAAUUUAAAACAAAUACAUAACAUUGAUAAAAAUUACAUAUUAGUAAAAAAAAGUGUCGGAAAAUUGAUAUUUUACCAAAAAAAGAAAACUUGCUCCAAUUAAACAAAAUAAAAUCAAAGUAUCAUCUCAUGAUGCAGGGUUUUCGAAAAUGUGUUUAUAAGUGCCAAUUUUGCAAAUUAAAAUUUUAUAAAUAAAUAAUGUUUUGUGCCCAUCUGCUCGGAUGUAUGUUUUAAACUAUUUUAAAUCUAAAUAAAUUUUAAAGAAUUCGUUGAAAACAAUCAUUGUAGAAAAAAAGUAUAAUAUUAAAAUUUACUCUUUGUUUUGUGUAAAAAAAAACUUUGCAAAUCGUAACUAUUUUUCAAAUAAUUAUUUUAUGUUUCCAUAUGCUUCUUGCGUAUCGAGAUGACUAUUUGAACUUUAGAAUAAUCUUUUGAUAUACGAUAACCAUUUCAGCAAAUAUACUUAAAUAGUUUUUCAAAGUCGUCAAGAAAAAAAAUCACCAUUACUAACUAUAAAAUAACUCUAUUACGUAUGGUAACCAUUUAACAAAUAGUUAUCGAGGUCCGCCAAAUAACAUUAUUACAAAUGGUGACCUUAUCUCAUAAGGUUUUUUUAAGUUCCUCACCAGAAUCGAUAUAGUUUUCGUUUAUCCGGGCGUUUGGUUUGAACAUUAGCCCAAAUAGUUUUCAAAGGAUGAUGACCAUUGCAAUGGCAGGUCUCACUCCUGAAGUAGCUUUUAUUUAUAUUGACGAUAUUAUUGUCAUAGGAUGCUCAAUGAGACAUCACAUUAAAAAUUUAACUACUGUUUUUGAAAGAUUGCGACAUUACAAUUUGAAGCUUAAUCCUUCAAAAUGUAAAUUUUAAAUCUGAAGUAACUUAUCUGGGGCACAAAGUCACAGAUAAAGGAAUACUCCCAGAUGAUUCUAAAUAUGAAUCACUGGUUAAAUAUCCAGUGCCGCAGAAUGCUGACGAAGUUCGAAGAUUCGUCGCAUUUUGUAACUACUAUAGAAAAUUCGUUGAAAAUUUUUCAACAAUUGCUCACCCUUUAAACCAGUUAUGUAAAAAGAAUUGCAAAUUUGACUGGUCUGUUCAGUGUCAACUCGCCUUCGACACACUGAAACACAAACUACUUUCACCAAAAAUUUUACAAUACCCUGAUUUUGCCAAAACUUUUAUUCUCACAACGGAUGCUUCUAACGUCGGUUGUGGAGCAAUUUUAUCCCAAAUCACUAGUGAAGGCGAUCGACCGAUAGCCUACGCUAGCAGAACUUUUACACCUGGUGAGAAAAAUAAGUCUGUUAUUCUCAAAGAACUAACAGCAAUCCACUGGGCAAUUAACUACUUCAAACCAUAUCUUUACGGAAAUAGGUUUGUAAUCAGAACUGAUCACAGACCACUUGUACAUUUAUACGGAAUGAAAGACCCAACAUCCAAAUUGACACAAAUGCGUUUGGAUUUAGGAGAAUUCAAUUUCGAUGUAAUAUAUAUAGCUGGUAAGGAAAACGUGGGUGCGGACGCGCUCUCACGAAUAGUUAUAACAAGUGAACAACUACAAAAUAUGCAAAUGCUCGUAGUAAACACGAGAUCAAUGCAGAAAACGAAAAGCAUGCAAAGCACGCAGGUUGAUACUAGUAUCGCCUAUCAAGCGGCUUAUACAGUUGAAAACAUUAAUGAAACGAGAAAAUUAUGCGCUUUACGUGUUGUCAAUAACACUUUACAGAUCUAUAAAAACAAAAAAAUAAUGAUGAAAAUCCCAUUUCAGCCAGAAAAUGAAAGACCAACUUUAGAGAUGACUCUUUCAAGGCUUGAAAAAGAAUUAAAGAAAAUGAGAAUCAAUCGAAUAUCUCUUUCAACGGAAGAUGAAAUUUUCAAAAAAGUAACAACUUCUACAUUUAAAAUUGUAGCUAAUAAAACUUUGCAAAGUCUACAAAUUUUAAUAUACAAACCACCAAUGUAUGUAGAUAACAAAAAUAAAAUUCAAGAAAUCUUACGAAAUUUCCACAAUACACCGACAGGAGGACACGUAGGACAAACUAAAAUGUACCUACAGAUCCGAGACCUGUACCGGUGGAAAGCAAUGAAACGUUCUAUUACACUUUUCGUUCAGGCCUGCGAACUGUGUAAAAGAAAUAAAAUU